rnacentral:rRNA from 1 species
UACAGAGACUGCAAGCGUUAUUCGGAUUCACUGGGCGUAAAGGGCGCGUAGGCGGGCUGCCGCGUCCGCGGUGAAAUCCCCGGCUCAACCGGGGAAGUGCCGCGGUACGGGCGAUCUCGAGGCGGGUAGGGCGUGCGGAACACUGGGUGGAGCGGUGAAAUGCGUUGAUAUCCAGUGGAACUCGGUGGCGAAGGCGGCACGCUGGACCCGAUCUGACGCUGAGGCGCGGAAGCCAGGGAGGCGAACGGG